rnacentral:rRNA from 1 species
GACGAACGCUGGCGGCGUGCUUAACACAUGCAAGUCGAACGGAAAGGCCCUGCUUUUGUGGGGUGCUCGAGUGGCGAACGGGUGAGUAACACGUGAGUAACCUGCCCUUGACUUUGGGAUAACUUCAGGAAACUGGGGCUAAUACCGGAUAGGAGCUCCUGCUGCAUGGUGGGGGUUGGAAAGUUUCGGCGGUUGGGGAUGGACUCGCGGCUUAUCAGCUUGUUGGUGGGGUAGUGGCUUACCAAGGCUUUGACGGGUAGCCGGCCUGAGAGGGUGACCGGCCACAUGGGGACUGAGAUACGGCCCAGACUCCUACGGGAGGCAGCAGUGGGGAAUAUUGCACAAUGGGCGGAAGCCGGAUGCAGCAACGCCGCGUGCGGGAUGACGGCCUUCGGGUGGUAAACCGCUUUCGCCUGUGACGAAGCGUGAGUGACGGUAAUGGGUAAAGAAGCACCGGCUAACUACGU